rnacentral:rRNA from 1 species
CGGGCAGACUAGAGUGCGGUAGGGGAGAAUGGAAUUCCUGGUGUAGCGGUGGAAUGCGCAGAUAUCAGGAGGAACACCGAUGGCGAAGGCAGUUCUCUGGGCCGUAACUGACGCUGAGGAGCGAAAGCGUGGGGAGCGAACAGGAUUAGAUACCCUGGUAGUCCACGCCGUAAACGUUGGGCGCUAGAUGUGGGGACCAUUCCACGGUUUCCGUGUCGCAGCUAACGCAUUAAGCGCCCCGCCUGGGGAGUACGGCCGCAAGGCUAAAACUCAAAGGAAUUGACGGGGGCCCGCACAAGCGGCGGAGCAUGCGGAUUAAUUCGAUGCAACGCGAAGAACCUUACCAAGGCUUGACAUACACGAGAACGCCCUAGAAAUAGGGAACUCUUUGGACACUCGUGAACAGGUGGUGCAUGGUUGUCGUCAGCUCGUGUCGUGAGAUGUUGGGUUAAGUCCCGCAACGAGCGCAACCCUCGUUCUAUGUUGCCAGCGCGUAAUGGCGGGAACUCAUAGGAGACUGCCGGGGUCAACUCGGAGGAAGGUGGGGAUGACGUCAAAUCAUCAUGCCCCUUAUGUCUUGGGCUUCACGCAUGCUACAAUGGCCGGUACAAAGGGCUGCAAUACCGUAAGGUGGAGCGAAUCCCAAAAAGCCGGUCUCAGUUCGGAUUGAGGUCUGCAACUCGACCUCAUGAAGUCGGAGUCGCUAGUAAUCGCAGAUCAGCAACGCUGCGGUGAAUACGUUCCCGGGCCUUGUACACACCGCCCGUCAAGUCAUGAAAGUCGGUAACACCCGAAGCCGGUGGCCCAACCC